rnacentral:rRNA from 1 species
AUUGAACGCUGGCGGCAGGCCUAACACAUGCAAGUCGAACGAGUGGCGGACGGGUGAGUAAUGUCUGGGAAACUGCCUGAUGGAGGGGGAUAACUACUGGAAACGGUAGCUAAUACCGCAUACCAUCGGAUGUGCCCAGAUGGGCUUGGCUAGUAGGUGGGGUAAAGGCUCACCCAGGCGACGAUCCCUAGCUGGUCUGAGAGGAUGAACAGCCACACUGGAACUGAGACACGGUCCAGACUCCUACGGUAGGCAGCAGGGGGGAAUAGUGCACAAGUGGCGCAAGCCUGAUGGAGCCAUGCCGCGUGUAUGAAUGAGGCCUUCGGGUUGUAAAGUACUUUCAGCGGGGAGGCGUUACCCGCAGAAGAAGCACCGGCUAACUCCGUGCCAGCAGCCGCGGUAAUAC